rnacentral:rRNA from 1 species
GAUGAACGCUGGCGGCGUGCCUAAUACAUGCAAGUCGAGCGAACAGACGAGGAGCUGGCUCCUCUGACGUUAGCGGCGGACGGGAGAGUAACACGUGGAUAACCUACCUAUAAGACUGGGAUAACUUCGGGAAACCGGAGCUAAUACCGGAUAAUAUAUUGAACUGCAUGGUUCAAUAGUGAAAGACGGUUUUGCUGUCACUAAUAGAUGGAUCCGCGCCGCAUUAGCUAGUUGGUAAGGUAACGGCUUACCAAGGCAACGAUGCGUAGCCGACCUGAGAGCGUGAUCGGCCACACUGGAACUGAGACACGGUCCAGACUCCUACGGGAGGCAGCAGUAGGGAAUCUUCCGCAAUGGGCGAAAGCUUGACGGAGCACCGCCGCGUGAGUGAUGAAGGUCUUCGGAUCGUAAAGCUCUGUUAUUAGGGAAGAACAAAUGUGUAAGUAACUAUGCACGUCUUGACGGUACCUAAUCAGAAAGCCACGGCUAACUACGUG